ensembl:misc_RNA RNaseP_nuc Nuclear RNase P
GUGGUGGCAAGCUUGCUUAUGGGCUAAGCGGCAAUUGGGACCGCUUGACCCUGGGAAGGUCUGAGACAAUGACGUUAAAUCUUCCGUGAUGGGAGACGUAAUAAAUACGUUGGAAGGUACCAGAAAACAACGGGAUAAUCGCUUGCGUAAGACCGAAAGCGACGCUAUGCGGUUGUCCCCGGUUGAAAAUCUUCCAGUCAGCGAUUACAGUUCAAUUAGCAAGGCGGCCCUUCGGUCGUAACUCAAUUCAGACUACUCUGCAACCAC